UACGAAGGGGGCUAGCGUUGCUCGGAUUGACUGGGCGUAAAGGGCGCGUAGGCGGUUCGUACAGUCAGACGUGAAAUUCCUGGGCUCAACCUGGGGGCUGCGUUUGAUACGUGCGGGCUUGAGUGCGGAAGAGGGUCGUGGAAUUCCCAGUGUAGAGGUGAAAUUCGUAGAUAUUGGGAAGAACACCGGUGGCGAAGGCGGGUCUCUGGGCCGAUACUGACGCUGAGGAGCGAAAGCGUGGGGAGCAAACAGG
rnacentral:rRNA from 1 species